rnacentral:lncRNA from 10 species
UAAAGCAAAAGCAAGUUUAUUAAGAAAGUAGAGGAAUAAAAGAAUGUCUACUCCAUAGAGCAUCCCUGAGGGCUACCGGUUGCCCAUUUUUAUGGUUAUUUCUUGAUUAUAUGCCAAACAAGGGGUGGAUUAUUCAUGCCUCCCCUUUUGAGACCAUAUAGGAUGACUUCUUGACAUUGCCAUGGCAUCGUAAACUGUCAUGGCUCUAAUGGUAGUGUAGCAGUGAGGAUAAACAGAGGUCACUCUUAUCGUCAUCUCAGUUUUGGUGGGUUUUAGCCAGCUUCUUUAUUGCAACCUAUUUUAUCAGUAAGGUCUUUAUUAUCUGUAUUUUGCUGACCUCCUAUCUCAUCCUGUGGCUUAGAACGCCUUAACCUCCUGGGAAUGCAGCCCAGGAGGUCUCAGCCUUAUUUUACCCAGCCCCUAUUCAAGAUGGAGUUGCUCUGGUUCAAACGCCUCUGACAAACGGGGAACUGAAACAGCAGAGAGACUGAGUUACAGCGAAGGAAUGAGGAUGGAGAUGGGGGGCAGGAGGACCAUUACAACACUCACUAGUGAGGGCUGCUAGUGCCCUCUUAGGUAGACUUGUCCCUCCCAAGUCUAAGGGACCUACUUGGACCUCCCAUUUGGUAAGUCUCUGGGUUUCUCCUCUGCCAGCCUUGCCAGCCCUGCCCUGGUCCCCUGUAACCCCAUUCAGAGGCCCCUGGGGUAGUUAAAAGCCCACCUUUGUGUUGACAAAAAGAGUUAAACUCUGUAAAAUAUUUGAAGAGAUUUAUUCUGAGCCAAAUGUAAGUGAACAUGGCCUGUGACACAGCCCUCAGGAGACCCUGAGAACAUGUGCUCCAGGUGGUCGGGGAACAGCGUGGUUUUAUACAUUUUAGGGAGACAUGAGAGAUCAAUCAAAUACAUUUAAGAUAUACAUUGGUCCUGUCCAGAAAGGCAAAACAACUUGAUGUGGGGGCUUCUAGAUUAUAGGUAGAUAUAACAAUUUUCUGAUUGGCAAUUGGUUGAAAGAGUAAUUAUCGAUAGAAAGGAAUGCCUGGGUUGUAAGAGGUUGUGGAGACCAAAGUUUUAUCAUGCAGAUGAAGCCUCCAGGUAGAAGACUUCAGAGAGAAUAGAUUGUAAAUGCUUCUUAUCAGCCUUAAGGUCUGUGUUGAUGUUAAUGCUGGAGGGUAUGAUGAGGCAUGUUCGACUCCCACUUCCCAUCAUGGCCUGAACCAGUCUUUCAGGUUUAAUUUUCGAGUGUCCUGGCCCAGAAGGAAGUCCAUUUAGAUGGUUGAGGGGGCCUCAGAAUUUUGUUUAGUCCCCAUGGCUCCCUCUAAAGUUGAACUCAUAGUCCUUUCUUCUUGCAAGAGUUCCUGUAAGAAAAAAAAUAAAACAACACCAAAAACACUAAUCACAGGAAAACUCCAAAGCUUUAGGUGCAACAUGGUGGGGAAGUUAAAAGCACAGCUUGGAAGUCAGGCUUCUUGGGUUGCUGACCCUGGUCUACAACUAUGUAGCUUCUACAGCUUGGUGCUAUAGUCUGAAUGUCUGUGUCCCCUGAAAGUUUAUAUGUUGAAACCUAAUGAAUGUGAAAAUUGCAGAUACCAGGAUGAAAUCACUUUUCAUCCUAGCUCAUGCUUACAUGUCUGAAAUGAGAACUGUUUCCAAGGACUUUCUAAAAACGUUUUUAUGUCCUUCAUGUAUCUCUCGCUUUGCUAGAUCCCUAGAUGUUCUCCAGGACUGCUGUUAUUCAGAUAAGAUGUUUUCAGAACACUUGCCCAGUGAUGGCAUCUCUACCAAUGAACUGACAGCAACUCUGGCUUUGAAUCUCUGGAACCAAUUAACUUUGUUCCACAGGAGGAAUCUCAGAUAAGACUUUCUUAAAGCCAUGCCCAGCCAUGGAUUUGUGCCAUCAAAUACUUAUAAAUUGGGUGAAUUUCCUCUCCUCUUGAGGUUCUGAGGUAAACCUGGGGCUUAUGUGCCUGUCAGAAAGUGACAUUCUUUACUUACUACAGGUCAGAAAUCUUGUACGGAGACUGUGUACACAAAAUAUGGGGCCAGUUUUUCCAAGGACUUUAUUGGUUCCAUAAGUCAAGUUUGAUUCCUUAAAGAAAAGCACACCAUUCCAGUCAAAGUCUUAGUAAAACAACCAAUUUCUCCAAUCGUGUCCUGUUACAAAUUAGAACAGAUUCUUAUUGCACUUAUGCAAAUAACUGUAUCACCAUAAGUUAAGAAUACUUACAAAUAGUUUCUGAAUUCUGGAGAAAUCAGGUAGAGAGAAACAAAUAUGCUCCAAAUUUUGUCAUAGGAGUAUACUAAAUUGUUAAAAGCUGUCAAUAGCUCAAAAGAAAAGUUUUAAGACUGAAACACAAAACAAAGGAUCAGCAAACAUUUUAAGCAAAAAGUCAAAAAGAUUGGUUCAGUCUAUGCAGUUAAUUCCUGUUCUGCUUGAUACUCAUGAACAUUUUAGCUCUCCAUGAGUCCUGAAACUUUUCCCUCUAUUCUGAUGUCACAAUCUCCAAAGUUAUCAGAAACCUGCAUGUAAGAGCACCUGUUGGAGUUUUACAGCUGAUUAUAAAACCACCUUCUAAAGAGGACCAAAAUAGGCCAGGUGUGUGGCUCACAUCUGUAAUUUCAGCACUUUGAGAGGCCAAGGUGGGCUGAUCACCUGAGGUCAGGAGUUCAAGACCAGCCUGGCCAACAUGGUGAAACCCCAUCUCUACUGAAAAUACAAAAAAAUUAGCUGGGCAUGGUGGUGUAUGCCUGUAAUCCCAGCUACUCGGGAGGCUGAGGCAGGAGAACCGCUUGAACCUGGGAGGUGGCAGUUGCAGUGAGCCAAGAUCGUGCCGCUGCACUCCAGCCUGGGCAACAGAGUGAGUCCCCAUCUCAAAAAUAAUAAUAAAAAUAUAUUUAAAAAAGAGGACCAAAACAACAAUUGUGCAUGGAAGAAAAAAGUUUUAAGGCAGCCAUAGUCAAAAGACAAAACUGACAAGGAAAUUUUUUACCUCUGUGGCACACAAUAAUUUUAAUAUAACAAUUAUGAUUAUUACUGAUAAUGUACACUAAGUUAUAUUAGAAUUAUAGGAGUUUCACAUAAUUUUGGAACAUACACCAAUAACAUAUUUAUACAAAUACAGCCCAAAGAAAACCAAACACCAUUUCACAUUUGACAAUGCUUCCUAUAUAAUUUUUAUACCAAAUAAGCCAAAUUAUGUCAUUUUAGGACUUUAGGGAAACUAAGAUCUUAAAGGAUUAAUUAGGUUAGAAAAAUACAUAAUUUAUAAUUUGAUUUUGGAAAGCUUGUCAAAUACAAAAGGUUUAAAACACUUGACAUUACAAAAUAAAAUUACAGGUCAUCGUAAAGUCAUUUAUUUAAUCCAAGUGAUAAUUCAAGGAUUUCAAAAAAAGCAAAAACCUUCAUUCUUUGAGAGAGGUGACUUAACUUUCUAAACAAGAAGCCCUAAUAAAAACAGCCUGAAGCCAAUCACAUUUGAUUUUCAAAAUUUUGUAAACAAACUAUAAGAUUUAAUCUUGAUUAUAAAAUAUAACUUCCAUAAGCCUUUUAUAACCUUUAUGAAGGAGUUGGUUAAUGCUUCAAGAAAACCUUGCUAAUCAGACACAGGGGUCCAUAUACUGAUUUUGCAUCAGUGUGCCUUUGACUUGAAUGAUUAGUUCAUAGAGAAACUGAACUUACUGGAUCUUUCAAAAUCGGCCCUUACAAUCUUACGCGCCCACCUCUUCCGCAAUAGUCCCUGGGCCUUGAGGAGUUGAAUAGCUUUAAUUUCUUGCCUAGUGCCUCAGGAAUGCAGUUUAUUUUGAUUGGCAUCUUCUACGGGGCCUUAAGAUGAGGCUUUGAUUGUCAUCAGUGUUUGUGAUUUUUCAGACACAGGAGUUAAAGCCCUGUAACUCAAUGUUACAAGGACUUUAAAAGCAUACACAGGAAGAUACAUGGAUGUAAUAACCUUGAUUUUUUAAAAAUUAGCUCUUUCUUCCCUAAGCAAACCAAAACUUAAUAAUAAUAUGACAACUUGAUUAUAUAAAAGCUUUUGGGGUGUGUGUGUGUGUGUGUAUAUAUAUAUAUAAAAUCUUAUCAUGACUUACACCAAUGUUCAUGACAUGCUUGGACUUUCUGGUUUGUCCUGAACAUCCCUCCUUGUUAAACAACCAGUUAUUUUAUUUUAGGACUAAAUUUACCAUAUAAAAUUCUUUCUUAUAUAAAAUUAUUUCUUUUUCAGCUUUUUAACCUUGAAAAAAUUCUUUAUUUUUAUAACUUUAUUUACAUUUUUUUUCUUUUCUGGUUCCUUUUACCUUGUUUUAUAUAUAACCUUUUAAUAAGCUUUGAAUUAGACAAAACUUGUUCACCAUUUUUUUAAAAAAGGACACACUUUUUUUUAAGCAACAAUGUUUUCCUACAAGAUAUAUUUAUUGGAAAAUACCCAAAUAAUAAAUUAUCUAUUAUUUAAUUUAAUAUGACUUUAUAUUCUAAAUUAUGUCCAGUUGGUCUAUAAGUAUUUAUCCCAUUACAUUUACCUAGUUAUUUUAUUAAUUGUUUACCUAGAUUAUUUAUAAAAACUGUGAUAGUCAUGAUUUAAAGUUAUGAAACUUCCAUUGCAAAAUUACAACUGAGACAGUGAAAAACGAUUUGACCUAACUGACUCCACCUUGCUCUUAACUUCCAAGCUGUCCUUGUUCAUUCCUGGGCAUAGGCCGAAUGAACUUUGGGAGGAACCUAGUUUAAGUUCAGCUUCGAAACAAUGACAAUAACAGUCCUUUCCCAAAACAAACCUCCUUAUUGUCUGUGGACUAAACUGCCUAAAGCCACAGGAUUAGAAGUUAUGGUAAUCUUACUAAAUUCAAGAUGCAGCUGUUUUCAUUAAACCCAUAUCAAUGUCUUAUUUAUUAAAAAUUACACAAGCAAAGAUCAUUCUGUUUUGGGCUGGGUUUAUAGUUUUAUAACCCCUAUGCCAAAUUUUGACACCUUCUGGUAUUUGGCAGGGAUAAGUAUAAAACUGUUUGAUUAAUAUAAUGCAAACAAAAAUGUAUGCUGGCAAUUCUUAAGACAUUUCUAAUACUACUUUACCAAUAAUUUUAAAGCUACUUUAUUUAUUAAAGAUUUUACUUAAGUUACAUAAAUUUGAAAAAGCAUUUGACUAGCCUUUUCUUUUUUAGUAUCUGAUUUAAGCACUUUUAUUUUUCUUUAAGCCAAGUAGAGCUCUUUUACAUAUUUUUAGCACUAAAACAUCGUGUACACAACACAUACAUACAUAUAAAGACGUAUUAGGCAUGCCAAUAGAAGUACAUUUUAUAGAUUUAUAAUGCCCCCCCACUUUUUUUUCCUAUCUUAGACUUUCAGAUUCUUGAUAACCUGUUUUACAACCCUAGGCAGUUGUCAGCUAAAUAGCCUUAAAUUUUUGCACAUUAAAGGAAACAACCCAGGUGAAAAUCAAAUAGCAAAAUUUACAUGAUAAGGUACAGAGAGGAAAAGUCUGGUGGUGUUAGAGGGAGAUGCUUUUAUUUUUCUUUGAGCGAUAUUAAACAUAAAACGAAACUACAUUCUUCCUUAACCCAAGAGUAGCCUCUGUUGCAAUAGCUAUUUUAGUCAAAAAAUCCGGUGAAAACAGAAUUCAGUCAACUGAGAAGUAAAAGGAAAAAAAAAAAAAAAACUUUUGCUACAAAAAAAAGACAAGGUCUUAGGAGAGAAAAACAAACAAGAAACAAAAACAUGAAGGCCUUUCAAAUACAAACAUGCACAAAACACACAUCAUGGAUGUUACUGUUUCAGUUAAGCAGACUUUCAACCACUGAGCUUCUUUAAAAACUUAAAAAAAAAAUCUUAUUACCAAAUCUCAGCUAGGACAAAGUGUUGCUAUUUCAGAAUCCUUGACCCCGUAAUUUAGGGUUCCCCUUCAGAUUUGACUAAGACAGAAACAAACAACAAAACAGUUAAGCAAAACUAACAAUGGUCACACAAAUUAUACAAUUUCUGAGUGCUCUAAGUGCAUUGGAAGAAAGCUGAAACUCCAUAAAAACAUCACCUGCCUUCCAUCAUCAUGAAAGCAGGAAAACUUGCCUUCCUUGUUGGGAGCAAGUAAAACUCCAAAAAAAGAGGUGUUGUACAGCAAAAUAAACUUCCGAUCUCUACCAAAUUUUAAGAGAUCAGGGAUUUUCUGGAGGGAGUCCUCUCAGACCUCAGCAAAUUGUCCUAUUGGUUUGAGCCAUAAAGUUAGCUCAUGCUGGUACCAAGCACCGAUAGAUUUGUCAAGGGUCAGGGGCAUCUCCACCCAGAAUCCAUUCAUGGUUUCCAAAAUGUGAACCCAGAAAAUCCGAGACAGGUCUCAGUUAAUUUAGAAAGUUUAUUUUGCCAAGGUUGAGGACACACUGUGACACAGACUCAGGAAGUCCUGAUGACAUGUGGCCAAGAUGGUUGGGGCAUACCUUGGUUUUAUACAUUUUAGGGAGACAUAAGACAUUAAUCAAUAUAUGUAAGAAGAACAUUGGUUCAGUGGGGAGGGAGCUUCCAGGUCACAGAUAGGUGAGACACAAACAGUUGCAUUCUUUUGAGUUUCUGAUUAGCCUUUCCAAAGGAGGCAAUCAGAUAUGUAUCUAUCUCAGUGAGCAGAGAGAUAACUUUGAAUAGAGUGGGAGAACAAAGGUCUAUCUCUGACCCACUGCUGCCCACCUCCCUUCCCUUCCAAAGCACAGGGAGGGAUUUUCUUUGAAGUUCUCUUAUUUGAUUAAGGGAAGUUUCUCCAGAAGGAAGGUAAUUGUCCUGGACACCCCUUCCUGGAAUCUACAUCGAUCAGAGAAGAUUAACUCAUAUUGCAGGACAGGAGAAUAAUUAAAAGUUGCUCAAGACAGCACACCUAGAUAGACUUUUUGCUUAUUCUUUCAACUAUAGUUAUGUGUCCAAUAACAAUGUUUCGGUCAACUGCAUAUACAACCAUGGUUUGAUAAGAUUUAUAGUGGACUUGAAAAAUUCCUAUUGCCUAAUAUACUGAAGGAAGAAAAUGUUUUAAUAUGCAUUUUGUGUACCCUAAGUGUGCUGUGUUUAUAAAGCCUACAGUAGUAUACAGUAAUGCCCUAGGCCUUCACAUUCAUUCACCACUCACUGACUCAUCUGGAGCAACUCUCAGCCCUGCAAGCUCCAUUCGUAGUAAGUGCCCUGUACAGGAGAGCCAAUUCUUAUCUUUUAUGCCAUAUUUUUACUUUCCUUUUUCUCUGUUUACAUAUGUUUAGAUACACAAAUAUUUCCCAUUGUGCUGCAAUUGCCUAUAGUAUUCAGUAGUCACACUACAAUGCAAUUGCCUAAUGACACAUUUAUCAGAAUGCGUCCCUGUCACCAAGAGAUACAAACAAACAAACAAACAGGGAAGACCCUUUUCCCAGC